AGCUCCAAUAGCGUAUAUUUAAGUUGUUGCAGUUAAAAAGCUCGUAGUUGGAUUUCGGAUGGGUUCCAGCGGUCCGGCUCUGCUGUGUACUGCUGGGGCCUAUCUUUCUGCCGGGGACGGGCUCCUGGGCGUUAAAACCCGGGACCUGGAGUCGGCGAGGUUACUUUGAGUAAAUUAGAGUGUUCAAAGCAGGCCUACGCUCUGAAUACAUUAGCAUGGAAUAACGCGAUAGGACUCUGGCCUAUCU
rnacentral:rRNA from 1 species